ACCCGCACAAGCGGUGGAUGAUGUGGAUUAAUUCGAUGCAACGCGAAGAGCCUUACCUACCCUUGACAUGUCCGGAACUUGCCAGAGAUGGCUUGGUGCCCGAAAGGGAACCGGAACACAGGUGCUGCAUGGCUGUCGUCAGCUCGUGUCGUGAGAUGUUGGGUUAAGUCCCGCAACGAGCGCAACCCUUGUCCUUAGUUGCUACGCAAGAGCACUCUAAGGAGACUGCCGGUGACAAACCGGAGGAAGUGGGGAUGACGUCAAGUCCUCAUGGCCCUUAUGGGUAGGGCUUCACACGUCAUACAAUGGUCGGUACAGAGGGUUGCCAAGCCGCGAGGUGGAGCCAAUCCCACAAAGCCGAUCGUAGUCCGGAUUGUUCUCUGCAACUCGAGAGCAUGAAGUCGGAAUCGCUAGUAAUCGCAGGUCAGCAUACUGCGGUGAAUACGUUCCCGGGUCUU
rnacentral:rRNA from 1 species